UACGUAGGGUGCAAGCGUUGUCCGGAAUUAUUGGGCGUAAAGAGCUCGUAGGCGGUCUGUCGCGUCUGCUGUGAAAACCUAGGGCUUAACUCUGGGCGUGCAGUGGGUACGGGCAGACUAGAGUGCGGUAGGGGAGACUGGAAUUCCUGGUGUAGCGGUGAAAUGCGCAGAUAUCAGGAGGAACACCGGUGGCGAAGGCGGGUCUCUGGGCCGUAACUGACGCUGAGGAGCGAAAGCUAGGGGGAGCAAACGGG
rnacentral:rRNA from 1 species